CCGAGAAAUGAAAACCAAAAUGACCCUGAGGUUGGUGUCCAGCGGUAUACUUUCCAGUGAAGAAUGCUAAGAUCAAAAACUCAUGUGAAAGCAUAUGUUGUAUACUAGUGGGAGUAGGUUUGAUAGAAAUAUACUCUCAAGAACAUUAAUCAAACCAGUGCUUCUUAUGGACCAUCAGGAUGAAGUACCAAGUUCAAGGACAGUACUGCACGAACUGCUCAAAGCCAGCCAAGUGGAGCAAGAAGAAAGGCAAGCAGAAGUCAUUCAUUUCCAGCACCUUCAGCACCUUUCUCCAGGACAGGGUCACUUAGCUUUGCUAGAAGAAGGGAUGACCUGAGAUAGCUUCCACAUAUUCCCUCAGAAAAGAAGGGGCCAGGAAUAUUGGGGAAAGAUUAUGGGUGUCAGGGGGCAGUAAGCAGAGUGUAAAGUGAAUAAAUGAAAAGAUAUUAAUACAAAAAUAUUUAAUUAUU